rnacentral:rRNA from 1 species
UACGGAGGGGGCUAGCGUUGUUCGGAAUUACUGGGCGUAAAGCGCGCGUAGGCGGACCUGCAAGUCGGGGGUGAAAGCCCGAGGCUCAACCUCGGAACUGCCUUCGAUACUGCGGGUCUCGAGUCCGGGAGAGGUGAGUGGAAUUCCUAGUGUAGAGGUGAAAUUCGUAGAUAUUAGGAAGAACACCAGUGGCGAAGGCGGCUCACUGGCUCGGUACUGACGCUGGAGGCGCGAAAGCGUGGGGAGCAAACAGG